CCUACGGGAGGCAGCAGUGAGGAAUAUUGGUCAAUGGACGAGAGUCUGAACCAGCCAAGUAGCGUGAAGGAUGACUGCCCUAUGGGUUGUAAACUUCUUUUAUAUGGGAAUAAAAUGUUCCACGUGUGGGAUUUUGUAUGUACCAUAUGAAUAAGGAUCGGCUAACUCCGUGCCAGCAGCCGCGGUAAUACGGAGGAUCCGAGCGUUAUCCGGAUUUAUUGGGUGUAAAGGGAGCGUAGGUGGAUUGUUAAGUCAGUUGUGAAAGUUUGCGGCUCAACCGUAAAAUUGCAGUUGAAACUGGCAGUCUUGAGUACAGUAGAGGUGGGCGGAAUUCGUGGUGUAGCGGUGAAAUGCGUAGAUAUCACGAAGAACUCCGAUUGCGAAGGCAGUUCACUGGACUGCAACUGACACUGAGGCUCGAAAGUGUGGGUAUCAAACAGGAUUAGAUACCCUUGUAGUC
rnacentral:rRNA from 1 species